AUCCAGCUGACGAGUCCGAAAUAGGACGAAACGCGCGUCCUGAAU
rfam:Schistosoma mattheei strain Denwood, Zambia genome assembly, scaffold: SMTD_scaffold0003062